AGGGUUUGAUUCUGGCUCAGGAUGAACGCUGGCGGCGUGCCUAACACAUGCAAGUCGAGCGAAGCGCUUAAAUUGGAUUUCUUCGGAAUGACGAUUUUUGUGACUGAGCGGCGGACGGGUGAGUAACGCGUGGGUAACCUGCCUCAUACAGGGGGAUAACAGUUAGAAAUGACUGCUAAUACCGCAUAAGACCCCAGCUUCGCAUGAAGCGGUGGUAAAAACUCCGGUGGUAUGAGAUGGACCCGCGUCUGAUUAGCUAGUUGGUAAGGUAACGGCUUACCAAGGCGACGAUCAGUAGCCGACCUGAGAGGGUGACCGGCCACAUUGGGACUGAGACACGGCCCAG
rnacentral:rRNA from 1 species